rnacentral:rRNA from 1 species
GCUUACGGCCAUACCACGUUGAAAGCACGCCGUCCCGUCUGAUCUAGCAAGUUAAGCAACGUUGGGCCUGGUUAGUACUUGGAUCGGAGACGGNGCUCAGAUAAAUGGCAUAUUGACAUCU